CGCAGCCGCGGUAAUUCCAGCUCCAAUAGCGUAUAUUAAAGUUGCUGCAGUUAAAAAGCUCGUAGUUGAAUUUCGGGACUAAUAUGUCGGUCGUGCCUAGGUACGUACUGGCUUAUUGGUUUCUCCUUUCUGAAGAACCAUGAUGUCAUUUAUUUGGUGUCGUGGGGAAUCAGGACUGUUACUUUGAAAAAUUAGAGUGUUUAAAGCAGGCUCACGCUUGAAUACAUUAGCAUGGAAUAAUGAAAUAGGACGUUUGAUUCUAUUUUGUUGGUUUCUAGGAUCGACGUAAUGAUUAAUAGGGAUAGUUGGGGGCAUUAGUAUUCAAUUGUCAGAGGUGAAAUUUUUGGAUUUAUUGAAGACUAACUACUGCGAAAGCAUUUGCCAAGGAUGUUUUCAUUAAUCAAGAACGAAAGUUAGGGGAUCGAAGACGAUCAGGUACCGUCGUAGUCUUAACCAUAAACUAUGCCGACUAGG
rnacentral:rRNA from 1 species